CACGUAGGGCGCAAGCGUUGUCCGGAAUUAUUGGGCGUAAAGAGCUCGUAGGCGGUCUGUUGCGUCUGCUGUGAAAACUCGGGGCUUAACCCCGAGCCUGCAGUGGAUACGGGCAGACUAGAGGUAGAUAGGGGAGAAUGGAAUUCCCGGUGUAGCGGUGAAAUGCGCAGAUAUCGGGAGGAACACCGGUGGCGAAGGCGGUUCUCUGGGCCUUACCUGACGCUGAGGAGCGAAAGCGUGGGGAGCGAACAGG
rnacentral:rRNA from 1 species